UACGUAGGCGGAAAAUUAAGUCAGUAGUGAAAUCCUGCAGCUUAACUGUAGAACUGUUAUUGAUACUGGUUUUCUUGAAUAUAGUUGAGGUAGGCGGAAUGUGUAAUGUAGCGGUGAAAUGCUUAGAUAUUACACAGAGCACCGAUUGCGAAGGCAGCUUACUAAGCUAUGAUUGACGCUGAGGUACGAAAGCGUGGGGAGCGAACAGGAUUAGAUACCCUGGUAGUCC
rnacentral:rRNA from 1 species